UUAAGUGAUGUCCAAAGAGGAGGAUCUACUGUCUUUACUCGUGUUGGUGUUGCUGUAGCCCCAAAGAAAAACAUGGCAUUAUUUUGGUACAACUUUGAUCCAGCUCAUCAGAAAGAUGACCUUACUCACCAUGCUGGUUGCCCUGUUUUGAUUGGCCAAAAAUGGAUUUGCAACAAAUGGAUAUGGACUUAUGGCAAUACAUUCAGAAGGCGUUGUGGAUUAACACCUGAUGCGACUCAACUAGAUAUUGAAGAAGAUAUGAAACAUGGCUAUAAAUGGCAUUGAUUUUAUUGGUUCAUUUAUUUCUGUUCUAUUGUCUACUAUUAUUAUGUCCCUAAAGCUUUUUUUUUUUUAUUGAAAAGAAUGUGGGAGGGUAGGUUAAUGUACAGAAAAUUGACUCUAUGCGAUAAAAAGUUUUUAAAAAUCAUAUUUAGAUAAUAAUUAUUAUUCAAUAAACAAAAAGAGGACAACAAUAUUAAUAAG
rnacentral:sRNA from 1 species